rnacentral:rRNA from 1 species
GACGAAGGAUGCAAGCGUUAUCCGGAUUCAUUGGGUUUAAAGGGUGCGUAGGCGGACUGAUAAGUCAGUGGUGAAAUCUCUUUGCUUAACAAAGAAACUGCCAUUGAUACUGUCGGUCUAGAGUAUAGAUGACGUUGGCGGAAUAUGAUACUGUAGUGGUGAAAUACUUAGAUAUGUCAUAGAACACCGAUUGCGAAGGCAGCUAACGAAACUAUAACUGACGCUGAGGCACGAAAGUGCGGGGAUCAAACAGG